UGGGGAAUAUUGCACAAUGGACGGAAGUCUGAUGCAGCAACGCCGCGUGCGGGAUGACGGCCUUCGGGUUGUAAACCGCUUUUUCUCAUGACGAAGUUUUUUGACGGUAGUGGGGGAAGAAGCACCGGCUAACUACGUGCCAGCAGCCGCGGUGAUACGUAGGGUGCGAGCGUUGUCCGGAAUUGUUGGGUGUAAAGAGCUUGUAGGCGGUUUGUCGCGUCGAUAGUGCAAACUCAGUGCUUAACGCUGAGCCUGCUGUUGAUACGGGCAGACUAGAGGAAGGUAGGGGAGAAUGGAAUUCCCGGUGGAGCGGUGGAAUGCGCAGAUAUCGGGAGGAACACCGGUGGCGAAGGCGGUUCUCUGUGACUUUCCUGACGCUGAGAAGCGAAAGCGUGGGGAGCGAACAGG
rnacentral:rRNA from 1 species